CAAGAGCGUAUAUUAAAGUUGCUGCGGUUAAAAAGCUCGUAGUUGGAUUUCAGUCUAGGAAGGUUAACUCGCCGAAAGGUUGUACGUUGAUUUUCCUCAGACUUCGUCAGAAGCUCGUGCUGCACUUAACUGUGUGGUACGAUGUUCUGACCUUUUACCUUGAGGAAAGUAGAGUGUUUCAGGCAGGCUACCCAGCUUGAAUACAUUAGCAUGGAAUAAUGAAAUGGAUCUCGGUUCGAUUUCGUUGGUUCUAGAGCUGAGGUGAUGAUCAAUAGGAACAGGCGAAGGUAUUCGUACUUGAGAGUGAGGAGUGAAAUCCGAUGAUCCCUUAAAGACGAUCCGAGGCGAAAGCAUUUGUCAAGGAUGUUUUCAUUGA
rnacentral:rRNA from 1 species